AUAUGACAAUAAUAGACUUGAAAUGGGAAAGGUUGGCUAUGACAUAAGGCUGCUGGUGGUUCAGAGAGGUUUCCAUAUAUGAGUUUCACAUCUCCAAUUGUGACAUUCUCAUAAGACCCUUCAGCAUUCUCAGUACUCCAUACGCUUACAUGGUGCCCUAAUUUCU